CUGCUUCACUCUGGGAGAGGACAACGUGUCAACUGCUUUGUGCCUUUUCUUACUGAGCCGUCAACUUGGAAAACUCCACAGCAGUAUCUGAAUCCAUGUUGGUUCAUCUGGGACAAUCUAAAGUUAUGAGGUGUGGAUCAUGACUGAAACACCUGGAGCCCGGAUGCAUGAUACAGAAGAUCCAUAAUCCAGGAAAGGUUUGAGGCACUUGGCACUGGAAGGAAACCUGGGGUAGAGCCAGAACUGGCAAUAAAUCCAUUCUGGACUGGGAAGGCCUCCCCAGUGAGUGGCUGAAAACAGACGGACGGACGUAUAAAAGAGAAGAUCCUGAAAUUAAAGGGGCCGCGGGAGCUGGAGGACCGAGGGUGUGACAGGUGCACAUCAUUGCCUCAUCAGUUCGGAGGACUAUAUGAGGGCGGCUCGCCAGCACUUCUUCGCCUGAGUGUUUUUGCCCUCCGUGGCACCCAGCCUCGCUCCUCGUUGGAGAUUUUUGAAGAAUACCUUAGACCACAGUCUGGACUCUGGAUCAUUCCCCGGCUGGCCCUGGAGAUUCAGCUGUCUGGUGAAGCGAACCCUGCCCACCCUCCAACGGUCCCUCCAGGAUCACCUGAAAAGCCCCAACGGAUUCAGCACGGCUUCACUGUUCCCAGACUCGCAACCCUCUCCCCCUGGUGGAUCGCCCCACCCGAAUAGAUGUGUCACCUUUUGGACUCUGUGGUGGCUUUGUGUUAUUUUGAGUGUUUGGUUGUGUUUCUCCACCCCUUGUUCAUAGCUCCUUUUUAGUUCUUGUUGUUUUUCUUAUGACUUAGUAUGGUUUUCUUUGUUGUCAUUGUUGCCAUUAUGAUUAUUCUGAUUAUUACUGUGCUCUGUUUUUCUUGGGUUCUUUAGUUAGUUCCCCAUCUGGUAUCUUUGUGUUUUUAUUUGUGGUUAGGUUUUUGUUCUCCCCCUUACACUCGUCUGCUUAUUAGUUUCUUUUUCUGUUACUCUUUAGUUAUACUGUAUUCAGUCUUUGUUUCCUAGUCCUCCCAGUUUGGUUCCCUUUAUUUUAAUUUUCCAGUCCCUCCUUCUAUAGGUUAGCUUUUGUUAUUGUUUACUUUUAUUUUUGUCCUCGCUUCCUCUGCCUCAUUCACAGUUUGUUCUUUCAGUAUUGGUUUAUAGUUUCUUUUACGUCUGCUCAAUAUCUUGUGAUUAGUCCUUUUCCUUAUUUAGUUCUAUUAGGUUCACCUGCUCCCUCUGCCUCCUUGUCUCACCUGUUCUUAGUUCCUUUGAUUACCUGCCUUUGUUCUCCCUCAGUAUAUUAGUUGGUUUUGUUUCUUUGCCCUUUGCUGGUUCCUCCAAUCACAUUACCUGAUUUUGCUCAGUGUUUGCUACGUUCCUGCAGUAAGUUUCGAUUGUACUCAUGCUUUGCACCUGCGGUGAGUUCUGCUUUGUUUUCUUUGCUCAUGACUUGUGAAUAAAGCUGAAGAUCAUGAUGAAAAUGCUGCAGCC